UACAGAGGGUGCAAGCGUUUGUUCGGAAUUAUUGGGCGUAAAGGGGCGCGUAGGCGGUGCGGUAAGUCUGUAGUGAAAUCUCUGGGCUCAACUCAGAGUCUGCUGCAGAAACUGCCGUGCUUGAGUGUGGGAGAGGUGAGUGGAAUUCCCGGUGUAGCGGUGAAAUGCGUAGAGAUCAGCAGGAAUACCCGUGGCGAAGGCGGCCCCCUGGGCCGAACCUGGACGCUGAGGCGCGAAGGCUAGGGGAGCGAACGGG
rnacentral:rRNA from 1 species